CUUUACUGAAACACCAAAGCAAAAUAUGUCACUGAAAAGGGCAAAAAAUAAAACCUUCACAGUAUUGUGAAAUUAGGGAAAGAAGAUGCUUGGUUGUAGACUACAAACCGACACAUAGAACCCUAAAUCUGAUCAGGAGCUGUUUCCUUUGAGUUUACUUUGUUUGAGCACUAAGAUAUGGUCUAAUCACCGAACUUCUUUUGCUUCUUUGGGUAUAUUUAUCUCAUCACGGGUCGUCUCCACAAAAGAAAAAGGUAAAAUUAAAAACUUAGGGUUUCUUUAUUUUCUGAGAUCAAGAAACUUUCCCUAUGUAUCUUCACCAAUAAUCAGAGGAAUAAGGUUGAUUCAUGUCCAGAUGCAAAAUUCUUCAUAAAAUAUUUAUCAAGUUUGAUAGAAAAUAGUAUUCUUUUUUUUUGAGAAAAAGAAAAAUAAUAUUCUUAUUGUUUGAUUUUUGUUAGAAAAAUGAGAUCUAUCUCUGAGCUAAUUAAGACCGAUCGAACACUUUUUCUUUCUAGAAAGAUUUUCAUUUUUUUUUAGAGAACUGGCUUGAAGAUUUUCAUUUUUGAUAUAAGGAAAUAGGAGAGAGAGAGAGAGAUUACCGCUAAAGUUGUGGUGCAGAAGUUGCAGAGGACAUAGCAAACACGAUCAGAUGAUAAAUCUAUAGACAUUUUUGAACUUGUGGUUUCUCUUCAAUAAUAUCUCGCUUCUUGUUUGGGUUAUAUAAAAUUUUUAGGUAUGCGAAUGAAAUCAAAGAAGGAACUAUUUGAUCUUGGAAGAAUAAAUUAAAGAAAAAGCAAGCAAAUAAGAGAGCAGAAGGAUAUAGAGAGAUGGGUGGAGGAAGCGUACAAAAAAUCUGAAAAGAUUAAUGGGGUUUGUUUUGAGGGGAAGGGAGACCAGUGGGGACUAUACUACAAUGUUCUUUUUUACAUAAAGUUUCUAUUAUUUUUUCAGAGUUGAAUACUCAAGAAUAAAAUGAAUGUUCUCUCGUGUAAUUUUCUGCUUAGGGUAAAUUAUAUAUGUAUAUAUAACUUAAGAGAAUACUAAUUAAUAAAACUCUCACCUUUAAGAAAAUUAUUAAAAUG
rnacentral:lncRNA from 1 species